rfam:Strongylocentrotus purpuratus Contig24463_fixed, whole genome shotgun sequence.
CCAACAGUCCUUUUGAGGACUACAAAACAUUCAAGAAAGAUUACCG